rnacentral:rRNA from 1 species
GGGGAAGGCUCGCGUGUGCCUGGAGAUUAGAGUUUGAUCCUGGCUCAGAUUGAACGCUGGCGGCAGGCCUAACACAUGCAAGUCGAGCGGUAGAGAGAAGCUUGCUUCUCUUGAGAGCGGCGGACGGGUGAGUAACGCGUAGGAAUCUGCCCGGUAGUGGGGGAUAGCCCAGAGAAAUUUGGAUUAAUACCGCAUACGCCCUAAGGGGGAAAGCAGGGGAUCUUCGGACCUUGCGCUAUCGGAUGAGCCUGCGUGAGAUUAGCUUGUUGGUGAGGUAAUGGCUCACCAAGGCGACGAUCUCUAGCUGGUCUGAGAGGAUGAUCAGCCACACCGGAACUGAGACACGGUCCGGACUCCUACGGGAGGCAGCAGUGGGGAAUAUUGGACAAUGGGCGCAAGCCUGAUCCAGCCAUGCCGCGUGUGUGAAGAAGGCCUUCGGGUUGUAAAGCACUUUCAGUAGGGAGGAAAGGUUGUAAGCUAAUAUCUUGCAGCUGUGACGUUACCUACAGAAGAAGGACCGGCUAACUCCGUGCCAGCAGCCGCGGUAA